rnacentral:lncRNA from 1 species
CGAGCCGCGAGCCCCGCGCCGGGCCGGGGAGUCCCCGGCGCCACACGCCCCCACCACCCCCAUCUUAGCGCCCCCCACCCUCUAUGGAGACAUUUCAACCAGGGAGAAGGGAAGUCCUGCCCUUGCCCCUCGCCCCCGCCCUGCUCCUCCAACAGGGGAGACUUCUGUCCAAACCUUGGAAAGAAACGAGAUGCCAGGCCUAGCGCCUUCGGGGAUCCUCUCUGGACAAGGCCACAGGGUGAAAACACCAGUCUGGACCUGGGCGGACUUUUUGGAAAAGCUUCUGGAUGCCACGGACUCCACGACCAACCAACUAGGUUGCUGCUGCUUGCAAACAUCGCCUCCAUUGAAGGAUUCCUGCAGCCACCAGCUCUGGAACUUUCUGGAACCAAACAUUUCCCCAGACUGCCUACAAGGACCAAUUGGCCUCUGGAUGUAGGUGUGGCCUGCAGGGGUCCGGCAGGGCUCCCCAGAGUCAAGUGGACCCAGCCCUUUGGACCCCCUGCCCGGUCCUAUUGACCUCUGCUCUCUCCCUGCAGCACUUCCUGGAGGCGUUUGACCGGGACCUGGGAGGGCAGCUGAGAAGUGCCUGACCAUUCUCAAGGAGCUGCGUGGAUUCCAGACAUCUCUGGGCUGGUCUCUGGACCGGGAUGGGGGACCCAGAGGUGGAGCCGAACACACAAGCAGCACUUGAGGGCUCCGAGGGUGGCAAGGAGAGAAGUUCCUGCUCUGGUACAGCCCUGGGACCUUGAAAGGUGCUUCAACAGAGCGUCCACUCCCAGCGCCUAGCUCUGGGACCUUGAAUGGUGCUUUAACAGAGCGUCUGCUCCCAGCGCCAAGCCCUCAGUGCAGAGGGGGAGACUCAGGCGGCCCUCAGACACAAUUCGCCAAGGUCGCACAGCAAGUCAGGGUGCCGCUAAGACUAGGACCUACAGCUCUGCCUCCUGGCCCAGGCUCCUCAGCACCUGGGCCCCAGAGGACAGCCUGUGGGAGGCCCACAUGGCCACUGCACCAUGAACCAAGGACCUGGUCCGGGUCCACCUCCACCAAGUGCUGGCCGUGUGUCACUGGGGUCACUCCACUCUCUGCAUUAGGUCUCAGUCAUCCAAGACCAUCUUUCAAGGGCCGUCACUCCAAUUAUGAGUCUGGGAUUUUCUGAAAUUGAGCAUUUUGGCCAGGCUGUGGGGUCCCUCUAUGACUGCCUGUAAGACACUGCCAAGGGGACUUUCUUCCUUUCACCAGACUGAAGCUAAGAAGUGCUGGAGACAGCAGUUGCUUUAGCCACAGGCUGUGUAGACCACCUGAGGAUGACCUGGGGGUCUGUUUUGUGCACCUUGGAACCCAUCGGAUCCCUCCAAUGACACAUUUGUCCAGAGCAAGACAAGAUCACACUUUGACAGCCCUCUGUCAAGAUCCUUGCUCCAAAUCUCCAGACUAGCAGCCAGGAGUCUCCAUGCUGUUCUGAAGAAGCAGAUUCCUCACCCACCCUUCAACUCCUUCCCAGGAGGUAAUCCUCCUCCAAAUCUCUGGAAAAGAUACACCUCCUCUUCUCUGAUAAAGGCUGGGGGGUGAUGCCCCUCCCCCAGUUUCCCAAUAAAGCUAUGCAAGACAGGA